CCUACGGGAGGCAGCAGUGGGGAAUCUUGCACAAUGGGCGCAAGCCUGAUGCAGCAACGCCGCGUGCGGGAAGACGGCCCUAGGGUUGUAAACCGCUUUCAGGAGGGAAGAAAAUGACGGUACCUCCAGAAGAAGGUGCGGCCAACUACGUGCCAGCAGCCGCGGUGACACGUAGGCACCAAGCGUUAUCCGGAUUUAUUGGGCGUAAAGAGCUCGUAGGCGGUUCGGUAAGUCGGGUGUGAAAAUCCAAGGCUCAACCUUGGGACGCCACCCGAUACUGCUGUGACUUGAGUGCAGUAGGGGAGCAGGGAAUUCCUGGUGUAGCGGUGAAAUGCGCAGAUAUCAGGAGGAACACCAGUGGCGAAGGCGCUGCUCUGGGCUGUAACUGACGCUGAGGAGCGAAAGCAUGGGUAGCAAACAGGAUUAGAUACCCUGGUAGUCCAUGCCGUAAACGUUGGGCACUAGGUGUGGGUCUCAACCAACGAGAUCCGCGCCGUCGCUAACGCAUUAAGUGCCCCGCCUGGGGAGUACGGUCGCAAGACUAAAACUCAAAGGAAUUGACGG
rnacentral:rRNA from 1 species